AACGGCCCGGGCGGCCGGUACGCCGUCCGGGCGUUCGACGUCCGGGCGGGCACGGUCAAGGUGCUGUUCCAGUCGGCCGACCGGUUC
rnacentral:tRNA from 1 species